ensembl:lncRNA
GAGAGAGAUGAGGUGAAGGAUGAGGAGAAAGAGAUGAGGUGGAGGAAGAGGAGAGAGAUGAGGUGAAGGAUGAGGAGAAAGAGAUGAGGUGGAGGAAGAGGAGAGAGAGAUGAGGUGGAGGAAGAGGAGAGAGAGAUGAGGUGGAGGAAGAGGAGAGAGAUGAGGUGGAGGAAGAGGAGAGAGAGAUGUCUUCUCACCAAAGUCUGGCGUGUCUCUCUUCAUCUCCUCCAGAAACAUCACCUUCUUCCUCACAACAGAGCCGUAGCUAUAUCCUGUAACACACACACACACACACACACA